GAUGAAGAACGCAGCGAAAUGCGAUAAGUAAUGUGAAUUGCAGAAUUCAGUGAAUCAUCGAAUCCUUGAACGCAUCUUGCGCUCCUUGGUAUUCUGAGGAGCAUGCCUGUUUGAGUGUCAUUAAAUUCUCAACCGCACUGACUUUGAAUUGGUGUGGCUUGGAUUUGGGGGGAAAAUUGUUGUGGGCUUUUUUGUAUAGUCUGCUCCCCUGAAAUUGAUUAGCGGUACCUUUGUGGAACUGUCUACAGGUGUGAUAAUUAUCUACAUCCUAGACAUCUGCUGGAAUGCUGCUUUCUAAACCUUACUUGUAUUGACAAUCUUGACCUCAAAUCAGGUAGGACUACCCGCUGAACUUAAGCAUAUCAAUAAGCGGAGGA
rnacentral:misc_RNA from 1 species